rnacentral:rRNA from 1 species
GACGAACGCUGGCGGCGUGCUUAACACAUGCAAGUCGAACGGAAAGGCCCUGCUUUUGUGGGGUGCUCGAGUGGCGAACGGGUGAGUAACACGUGAGUAACCUGCCCUUGACUUUGGGAUAACUUCAGGAAACUGGGGCUAAUACCGGAUAGGAGCUCCUGCUGCAUGGUGGGGGUUGGAAAGGUUCGGCGGUUGGGGAUGGACUCGCGGCUUAUCAGCUUGUUGGUGGGGUAGUGGCUUACCAAGGCUUUGACGGGUAGCCGGCCUGAGAGGGUGACCGGCCACAUUGGGACUGAGAUACGGCCCAGACUCCAUCGGGAGGCAGCAGUGGGGAAUAUUGCACAAUGGGCGGAAGCCUGAUGCAGCAACGCCGCGUGCGGGAUGACUGCCUUCGGGUUGUAAACCGCUUUCGCCUGUGACGAAGCGUGAGUGACGGUAAUGGGUAAAGAAGCACCGGCUAACUACGUG